AACUCCUAUCCCCCUCUCACUCUCGUUUCUUCUCCUAGCUUUCGUCCCUUGCCGGAAAUCGCUCCGCCGUGCCGGAGGAGGCGGAGCUCGGCCAAACUUUAAUUACCACCUCAUUCUAAUCCUCUCUUCAACCUCUACCGCAGUCGAGGAGCGUUUCAAGUUAAAAGGGGAAAGAAGAACACUAGGUCAUAGAUACGGUAGAUUCAAGUCUAAAUAGCAGUGAAUUCACAUAAUUAUGGACGAGGCAAGCAUCGUAACAACGAGUAAUGAUCAGAGAACGAGAGAACAGAGGGUUUAUAUCCACUUACCUGCCGGAAUGGAGAUUAAACAUGAAGAAGACGAAGGCGAGAAUCCAAGCUUGAUGUAUACCGAAUGCGCGAAAUAAACGCCGCUGACAAGAGAAAGCUCCAAUUUCUGGUUCUGCAACAGUUUGGAAGAUGAUUUGCAGAGUUAACAUAUGGGUGGCUGGAGAUGGAUGUUAAAGCUGGUUUUUAUAGGUUAUUUGUUCCGGUGCUGUUAGCGGUAUUUUGCGGGUUAGAAUGCUUUGGAAUUCUGUGGUUUGACGGUGUUUAGUCGAUUUGUGGAUAAUUAGUGUUAGAAAUCAUGCUUGAGUAACAUAGUUGAACCUUAAACUGAAUGAUAGAUAGUGUAGGUGUAUUAUGAAUGCUGCAGGGACGCUUUUUAUGUCCUUUGAGGGGUUAUUGUUGGCUGUAGGUUUUGAAAUUGUUAGAAGUUGAAUGUUGUAGAUUCUGAUAAACGUAUGGCUGCAACUUGUUUGGGAAUAUAAUUGUGCAGGGACUGUUUUUUGGUAUGGAUGUGGCUGCAGGAUUUCUAGAAGCUGUUUGCAGCAUGUUCAUUGAAUCCGGAUGCGACUUUGUUUCGGUUUGGAGGAUGAGUCUGGCUGCAGCUAAUUCCGUGUUGGUUUUAAAUUGCAGCAAGCUAGUGUACUUCUAUUUUUUGUGUUUGUAGAAUUUCGGUUUGCAGGAUGGGUAUUUAUUGUAACUUGUAACAUUUUUUUUUGUAUGGAAUGUAACAUGAUAUAGAUGAUAUCCUGGAUUUGUAGUAAGGAAUGGAGAGGAUGGAGCUGACUUAGAAAAAUAGUUUAAAGGAACCGAAAGUCAAAUUAAAAAAUUAUUGUAAUUUCCUUAUGUAAUGGUAUUUUUGAAUUUUGAAUAAUGUAAUUUUCUUUGGAA